UUCCUCAACUUUCAGCAGUAGGCUCUUCUGACUUCCCUGUUAAAGAGACUGGAGAAAACAAAAUGGCACCUUGCUUUCUAACAGAGUGAGCAGAUCCUUCAAUGUCUGGGAAGACGACUGUUCACCCCAAGAGAUCAGGGAAUGGAUGGGUCCUGGCCACUGUGGCACCUUUAGUGUUGACCUAGCGCCUGGCACACAUAGGGUGCUUGGUCAGAACCUAUUGGAUGUACCAUGUGUGGAAGCUCAGAGGUGAGAAGGAAUCUGGAGCACUUGGGAGUCUGGAAGGAGCCUGGUGAGGACAAAUUGGAGAGUAAGUUAGAAGACACCAGUAAGGGCCACGGAAAAGAAUGCAAAGGAGGGGACGCUUGAAUCCUGUGAAUGUGCGAAGCCUUCAGGGGGCAGAGGAAAGGAACAGUUAUAGAAGUAGUUUCAACUAGUACUCGCGGAGCUCUUCUGAGAGGGGCCAGGUGAGAGCAGAGGAUCUGAACACCAUCACGCAUUCCUCUGUGGCAGCUGAAUGUAGAGCAGAGAGCCAUGGGCCUGGAACCCUGGGACCACCAAGUCCUGAGGAAGACUGCAGCCUGAGGAGCACAUGGCAAGGGCUGGGGCUUCCUCAGUCCCCCAGGGCACAGCAUGAAUAAAAGAAUCCAGUGCCUGAGACCACCGCUGCUGCCUCUUCUAACAUGGCCUCACUCAGAAUGGAGUCAUUUUCCUUCUAGACACGGAAAAUAAAUUGUGCUAUGAUUAAACUCUGCACGGAAGAACCUCCCAGUGAAUUUCAAUUCCAGCUGUGGGCAUUUGGCACAAGUCCUGGGAAGACCAAUGCUGCGCUUUCUGUUUCUGCUCAGAUACCCCCCAAGUCUCUGCUAGAGUCUUUGGCAACAUGACACACUAAUUUUAGGAACCUAAUUUGUCUUGGAAUGACUGAGAGUGCUUUUGGUUCCUAAAUUUUGAGGAUGUGAAGCUAGUGCUAUAAUAAUUAUGCAUGUCAUAUUGGAUCUUGGUAUUUUCUAAAAAGAUGACUUCCAUGAGGGACUUUGAGGUCUGAAGAAACUAUAUUCACCCUAUUGAGAGGAAGGAUAGGGGAUAGCUGCAGGAAGAACCCCAAUCCUAUCUCUCUCUCUCUCUUCUCUUUUUUUCUUUUAAUUGAAAACUCUCUGACUUCAACUUCAGGAUUUUGGACUUUAGACUCACAAGGGUGACAUGAUUUGCUUUAGAAAUUUAUUUUCUUUGGACUGUAAUUUACAAGAGAAUUUACCCCUCGGAUUUAAAUUUUUUUUUCCACAAGAAUUUGAUAAUAAAGGAGGAUUUUUAUUAUUAGAAUUUUUUAUGUUGUCAAUAAAUCUAAUACCAGAUC